UACGUAGGGUGCAAGCGUUAAUCGGAAUUACUGGGCGUAAAGCGUGCGCAGGCGGUUGUGCAAGACAGAUGUGAAAUCCCCGGGCUCAACCUGGGAAUUGCAUUUGUGACUGCACGGCUAGAGUGUGUCAGAGGGGGGUAGAAUUCCACGUGUAGCAGUGAAAUGCGUAGAUAUCGAGAGGAACACCUGCGGCGAAGGCGGGUUGCUGGGCUGACACUGACGCUGAUGCGCGAAAGCCAGGGGAGCGAACGGG
rnacentral:rRNA from 1 species